GACGAACGCUGGCGGCGUGCUUAACACAUGCAAGUCGAACGGAAAGGCCCUGCGCUUGUGGGGUGCUCGAGUGGCGAACGGGUGAGUAACACGCGUGUAACCUGCCCUUGUCUUUGGGAUAACUUCAGGAAACUGGGGCUAAUACCGGAUAGGAUCUCCUGCUGCAUGGUGGGGGUUGGAAAGUUUCGGCGGUUGGGGAUGUACUCGCGGCUUAUCAGCUUGUUUGUGAGGUAGGUGCGUACCAAGGCUUUGACGGGUAGCCGGCCUGAGAGGGUGAACGGCCACCUUGGGACUGAGAGACGGCCCAGAAGCCUACGGGAGGCAGCAGUGGAGAACAUUACAGAAUGGGCGGAAGCCUGAUGCAGAGACGCCGCGUGCGGGAUAACCGCCUUUGGGUUGUAAACCGAUUUCGCCUGUGACGAAGCGUGAGUGACGGUAAUGGGUCAAAAAGCACCGGCUAACUACGUG
rnacentral:rRNA from 1 species